CGCCGCGUGAGGGACGACGGCCUUCGGGUUGUAAACCUCUUUUAGCAGGGAAGAAGCGAAAGUGACGGUACCUGCAGAAAAAGCACCGGCUAACUACGUGCCAGCAGCCGCGGUAAUACGUAGGGUGCAAGCGUUAUCCGGAAUUAUUGGGCGUAAAGAGCUCGUAGGCGGUUUGUCGCGUCUGCUGUGAAAACCCGAGGCUCAACCUCGGGCCUGCAGUGGGUACGGGCAAACUAGAGUGCGGUAGGGGAGAUUGGAAUUCCUGGUGUAGCGGUGGAAUGCGCAGAUAUCAGGAGGAACACCGAUGGCGAAGGCAGAUCUCUGGGCCGUAACUGACGCUGAGGAGCGAAAGCGUGGGGAGCGAACAGGAUUAGAUACCCUGGUAGUCCACGCCGUAAACGUUGGGCGCUAGAUGUGGGGACCAUUCCACGGUUUCCGUGUCGCAGCUAACGCAUUAAGCGCCCCGCCUGGGGAGUACGGCCGCAAGGCUAAAACUCAAAGGAAUUGACGGGGGCCCGCACAAGCGGCGGAGCAUGCGGAUU
rnacentral:rRNA from 1 species